rnacentral:rRNA from 1 species
UACAGAGGGUGCAAGCGUUGUUCGGAAUUAUUGGGCGUAAAGCGCGUGUAGGCGGCCUGGCAAGUCGGGUGUGAAAGCCCUCAGCUCAACUGAGGAAGUGCGCCCGAAACUGCUGGGCUCGAGUGCCGGAGAGGGUGGCGGAAUUCCCCAAGUAGAGGUGAAAUUCGUAGAGAUGGGGAGGAACACCGGUGGCGAAGGCGGCCACCUGGACGGUCACUGACGCUGAGACGCGAAAGCGUGGGUAGCAAACAGG